AGUGAACGCUGGCGGUAGGCCUAACACAUGCAAGUCGAACGGCAGCACAGUGAGAGCUUGCUCUUACGGGUGGCGAGUGGCGGACGGGUGAGGAAUACAUCGGAAUCUACUUUUUCGUGGGGGAUAACGUAGGGAAACUUACGCUAAUACCGCAUACGACCUACGGGUGAAAGCAGGGGAUCUUCGGACCUUGCGCGAUUGAAUGAGCCGAUGUCGGAUUAGCUAGUUGGCGGGGUAAAGGCCCACCAAGGCGACGAUCCGUAGCUGGUCUGAGAGGAUGAUCAGCCACACUGGAACUGAGACACGGUCCAGACUCCUACGGGAGGCAGCAGUGGGGAAUAUUGGACAAAGGGCGCAAGCCUGAUCCAGCCAUACCGCGUGGGUGAAGAAGGCCUUCGGGUUGUAAAGCCCUUUUGUUGGGAAAGAAAAGCAGCAGGUUAAUACCCCGCUGUUCUGACGGUACCCAAAGAAUAAGCACCGGCUAACUUCGUG
rnacentral:rRNA from 1 species